UACGGAGGGUGCGAGCGUUGUCCGGAAUCACUGGGCGUAAAGGGCGCGUAGGCGGCCUGAUGAGUAGGGGGUGAAAUCCUGCGGCUUAACCGCAGGGCUGCCUUCUAAACUGUCAGGCUUGAGCACGGUAGAGGCAGGUGGAAUUCCCGGUGUAGCGGUGGAAUGCGUAGAGAUCGGGAAGAACAUCAGUGGCGAAGGCGGCCUGCUGGGCUGUUGCUGACGCUGAGGCGCGACAGCGUGGGGAGCAAACAGG
rnacentral:rRNA from 1 species